AACACUGAUCUCCCAAAUGCACCUCUUAGAUCUAAAAUACAACAAAAUAGGAGAUUUAUAAAUUUUAUAAUUUGAGCAAGAUUUCUGUUAGAAAGGUUGUUUACAAACAGAAAAAAGAUAAGUACCUAAUAAAUAAGUACACGUUAUAAUAAAACUAACUCAUAUUCCUUGCAUCACUUAAAAUCAAAAAAAUGUUUUUCUCGAAUCAUUUUAUAGCAAUUGAUGUCUAAGUCGUAUGGAUGUAUGAACGUAAUUGGUAUACAGUUAUGUGAACAUACCCACAGAGAAAAAAAACGUUAUGAUUCGACAUGUAAAGGAUUAAAAGUGUUCGUAUUUGAAUUUAAAUACAAUUUGAGUUACUGUUUUUCAAAAUGAAAAA